CCUACGGGAGGCAGCAGUGAGGAAUAUUGGUCAAUGGGCGCGAGCCUGAACCAGCCAAGUCGCGUGAGGGAAGACGGUCCUAUGGAUUGUAAACCUCUUUUGUCGGGGAGCAAAAUACGCCACGCGUGGCGUUCCGAGAGUACCCUACGAACAAGCAUCGGCUAACUCCGUGCCAGCAGCCGCGGUAAUACGUAGGUGGCGAGCGUUAUCCGGAAUGAUUGGGAGUAAAGGGUGCGUAGGCGGCCUGCUAAGUCUGGAGUGAAAGGUACCGGCUCAACCGGUACAGGCUCUGGACACUGGCGGGCUAGAGAGCAGGAGAGGGCGGUGGAACUCCAGGUGUAGCGGUAAAAUGCGUAGAUAUAGGGAAGAACACCAGUGGCGAAGGCGGCCGCCUGGACUGUUACUGACGCUGAGGCACGAAAGCGUGGGGAGCAAAUAGGAUUAGAUACCCUUGUAGUC
rnacentral:rRNA from 1 species